rfam:Felis catus isolate Cinnamon breed Abyssinian chromosome X, whole genome shotgun sequence.
GCCUGACUGGCUUAGUUGGUAGAGCAUGUGACUCUUGAUCUCAGGGUCAUGAGUUUAAGCCCCAUGUUGAGCG